AGUGAACGCUGGCGGUAGGCCUAACACAUGCAAGUCGAACGGCAGCACAGUAAGAGCUUGCUCUUACGGGUGACGAGUGGCGGACGGGUGAGGAAUACAUCGGAAUCUACUUUUUCGUGGGGGAUAACGUAGGGAAACUUACGCUAAUACCGCAUACGACCUACGGGUGAAAGCAGGGGAUCUUCGGACCUUGUGCGUUUGAAUGAGCCGAUGUCGGAUUAGCUAGUUGGCGGGGUAAAGGCCCACCAAGGCGACGAUCCGUAGCUGGUCUGAGAGGAUGAUCAGCCACACUGGAACUGAGACACGGUCCAGACUCCUACGGGAGGCAGCAGUGGGGAAUAUUGGACAAUGGGCGCAAGCCUGAUCCAGCCAUACCGCGUGGGUGAAGAAGGCCUUCGGGUUGUAAAGCCCUUUUGUUGGGAAAGAAAAGCAGCAGGUUAAUACCCCGCUGUUCUGACGGUACCCAAAGAAUAAGCACCGGCUAACUUCGUG
rnacentral:rRNA from 1 species